GACCAAGACAUAUUGAGUUGGGGAAGAGGAUUAGAACAUGCUGACCAAGAAACAUGUUGGUUGACCAAGAUAUGUUGGGUUGGGGAAGAUGAUUGGAACAUGUUGACCAAGAAACAUGUUGGUUGACCAAGACAUAUUGGGUUGGGGAAGACGAU